CUGAAAAGAAGUUUAGUUUUUUUCUUUAUAUCAAGAGAAAAGAUAUUUCUGGUGUGCUAAAUAAACCUUUGGAGGUAAAUUAGCAGCAUGACUAACUUAGCCAUUGCUGCUAGUCACCUUCAGACAAGU
rnacentral:snoRNA from 1 species